rnacentral:lncRNA from 7 species
AGGACAAUUGAUUCCUCCUGACAUCUUCAAAUGGCUGAAUCUGUUCGGUAUUAAAGCCCUCCUGUAUUGCUGGAGUAAGGAAAAGAAACCAGCACCUCUACGUGCGGUAUGUGUGAUACUUCCACCUGUGAUACCUCACCUGAACCUAUCUUGCAAUGUAACUGUAGUGACUCCAGUUAAAUCAACGAGAAAAUGACUGAGCUUAACUUUGAGGCAAUUGGACUCAUUUCAGCAGUGGUGAAGACUUGUUUUCCAACUGUCAUAUUGGUCUUCAUCAGACAGUUCACCAACUGUGUUCUCAGCGCCUCUCUUACUUCAGAAGAAAACAUUUGUUUCAUUUCAUGAACCCACCUUGCCACUAAGAGAAAAAAAUAUUGCCAGGGACACAGAACGGCCUUAGCAUGACUGUAGGGAUGUAUCAGUUAAAUUCAAAUUAAAAUAAUACAGAUGCUUGUCCUGUCUGUGCCACUAGUUGUAUGCCUGAAAGUGCUAUAUGAUUUCCAAGCAAGUUCGUUCAUUUACUAGCUAUCAAGCUAACAUGAAAAGCAAAAAAACCAAACUAUUUUAGGUUUAUUUAUUGAAUUAAAUCCAGAAAAGUUGUGUCUGUUCUUUAAUUGAGUGGCUGUGGGCUGAUAUGUGACAUACCUUUGGGAAAAACAAAUCAAGGAUUAUUUAAGUGCUUGUUUAUUUCAAGAAAUGCAAAACAUGCAGUUUGAGAAGCUGAAUCAUUAAAACAAUUGCAAUGGAACAGAGUGCUUUUCACACAGAGAUGAAAAUCUUUGCAUAGAUCAUCUAAUCUGUAUGUGCUGCUUUUUCUACCAGUGUUUUAUUCUGUUGAGGUAUUGACCUUGAAUUCUUCAAAAGUUGCUAGUUAGGUUGACACACAGCUAGAUAUUUCACAAGAUUAAAAAAAAAAAAAAACUGUGUUAAAUUACUCAUUGAUAUUACAUGUUGUACUUACACUCCUUCCUAGAACUAGGUGUAUACAGAGGAGGCUUUUGUUUACUCACAAUAAUUUGUUUUAUUCUGAAGAGAAGAUUUCUGCAGUUUGCAUUGAAGAGGGGUGAGAUUCAUGAUUGUUUCCAUCCUCACAUGGAAGAGCGCUCCAGAGCUCCUUCUGUCAACAUAAUUGCCUGCCCAGCUGAUAGCUCCACCACCCCUGGGGAGUGGAUCCUUUCAGCAAGGCCUUUAUCACAGUGAGAAAUUAUUAUCCCCAAAGUAACCUGGAUCUAGCCAAUUUAGGGCUUUGAAGAUUAGGAUUAGAACAAGGAAUAUGAUUUAACAUUCACAGAAGAGCCAGCAUACUGCUCACAGCCCUGGGAUGAUGUACCAAAAUUGACUUAUUUUGCUUAGCAAGCAGAGUGAUGAGUUUUGAUCAGCUGCCCAUUGAAGGCUAUCAUUGGCACUGCCAGUGCAGAAUAUUACAACAGUGCAACCUGGGAGCCAUGAAUAUGUACAAGGCUAUUGCCAAGUCAGCAUCUGAGAGGAUGUUCAUAGGAACAGCCUGCUGGCUCAUUGUGGAUGAGAGAAUUUAUUUUUGACAGAUUUCAUACCUGGGAGGACAUCAGCUAACCCUGAGGCUCUGAGCUCUUGUGAUGGUCAGAAAACAGACCCCUCAAUUGAGGACCUUGUCAUGGUUUUGGCUAGUUCUUCAAAAUAUCACCCAUUUCCUGCUAAUCCUGCUUCUGUCUUGUUCAGAUUUAUUCUCAGCCAGCUGAAUCUCUGUUCGGAAGCUGAUCUCCUAUAGGCACUGAGGCAGAUGGGAAGUAGUGCUGCUAGUGUAUGAUGUGAGAGAUGGUUUGAACUGAGAGUCAGUAACAUACUGUUCAGUGUGGUGGUUCAAAAAUAUCUCCUGGUAGAUUUACAUGUAUGCCUACCAGAAUAAAACAGGAGACUGGAGAAGUUCACCAGCAAGAGGCCCAGAUAAGAUGCACAGUUACCAGUUACAAACGUUUUGGAUCACUCACAGUGGAAUGAUUCGAUCUGGCCUUGUUCAGUUCGCUCUGCUGUGAGUAGCUGCAUGCUAUGGCUAGAAUGGCAAAGGUAGCUGCAAGACUCAACAGAAGUACAAGACUUUUAUCACAGCCUGUGACUGUAUUUCUGUAAAUAUAAAAACCAAGCAGAAUUGUUACCUAGCACUCCCCCUCUUUUAAAUAAAACUAUAUUUAAAACCUCAU